GGUGGCUCAGUGGUAGUGUGCUUGCUUUUUAUGCAUGAGGCCCUGAGUUCAAUUCCUCAGCACCA
rnacentral:tRNA from 1 species